rnacentral:rRNA from 1 species
GGGAAUAUUGGACAAUGGGCGAAAGCCUGAUCCAGCAAUGCCGCGUGUGUGAAGAAGGCCUGCGGGUUGUAAAGCACUUUCAGUGGAGAAGAAAAGCUUAAGGCGAAUAACCUUGAGUCUUGACGUAACCCACAGAAGAAGCACCGGCUAACUCCGUGCCAGCAGCCGCGGUAAUACGGAGGGUGCAAGCGUUAAUCGGAAUUACUGGGCGUAAAGCGCGCGUAGGCGGCUUUGUAAGUCGGAUGUGAAAGCCCCGGGCUUAACCUGGGAAUUGCAUUCGAUACUGCAUUGCUAGAGUACGGUAGAGGGAAGUGGAAUUUCCGGUGUAGUGGUGAAAUGCGUAGAUAUCGGAAGGAACACCAGUGGCGAAGGCGACUUCCUGGGCCAGUACUGACGCUGAGGUGCGAAAGCGUGGGGAGCAAAC